GACGAACGCUGGCGGCGUGCUUAACACAUGCAAGUCGAACGGAAAGGCCCUGCUUUUGUGGGGUGCUCGAGAGGCGAACGGGUGAGUAACACGUGAGUAACCUGCCCUUGACUUUGGGAUAACUUCAGGAAACUGGGGCUAAUACCGGAUAGGAGCUCCUGCUGCAUGGUGGGGGUUGGAAAGUUUCGGCGGUUGGGGAUGGACUCGCGGCUUAUCAGCUUGUUGGUGGGGUAGUGGCUUACCAAGGCUUUGACGGGUAGCCGGCCUGAGAGGGUGACCGGCCACAUUGGGACUGAGAUACGGCCUAGACUCCUACGGGAGGCAGCAGUGGGGAAUAUUGCACAAUGGGCGGAAGCCUGAUGCAGCAACGCCGCGUGCGGGAUGACGGCCUUCGGGUUGUAAACCGCUUUCGCCUGUGACGAAGCGUGAGUGACGGUAAUGGGUAAAGAAGCACCGGCUAACUACGUG
rnacentral:rRNA from 1 species